rnacentral:rRNA from 1 species
GAUGAACGCUGGCGGCGUGCUUAACACAUGCAAGUCGAACGAUUAAAGCCCCUUCGGGGGUGUAUAGAGCGGCGAACGGGUGAGUAACACGUGGGCAACCUGCCCCGGACACCGGGAUAACCCAGGGAAACCUGAGCUAAUACCGGAUACUCCGGCGAGAUCGCAUGGUCGCGCCGGGAAAGCUCCGACGGUCCGGGAUGGGCCCGCGGCCUAUCAGCUUGUUGGUGGGGUAACGGCCCACCAAGGCGACGACGGGUAGCUGGUCUGAGAGGACGGCCAGCCACACUGGGACUGAGACACGGCCCAGACUCCUACGGGAGGCAGCAGUGGGGGAUCUUGCGCUAAUGCGCGAAAGCGUGACGCAGCGACGCCGCGUGGGGGAUGAAGGCCCUCGGGUUGUAAACCCCUUUCGGCAGGGACGAAGCGAAAGUGACGGUACCUGCAGAAGAAGUCCCGGCUAACUACGUGCCAGCCGCCGCAGUAAGAC